AAAUAAGAAGCAAUAUGUGCAAUCAGUUUCGACCUGAAUAGAAAGAUGAAAAUUCAUCCUUAUUUA
rnacentral:tRNA from 1 species